rnacentral:rRNA from 1 species
AAAACGACUCUCGGCAACGGAUAUCUCGGCUCUCGCAUCGAUGAAGAACGUAGCAAACUGCGAUACUUGGUGUGAAUUGCAGAAUCCCGUGAACCAUCGAGUCUUUGAACGCAAGUUGCGCCCGAAGCCAUCAGGCCGAGGGCACGUCUGCCUGGGCGUCACGC